AAAAAUACUAGAGUGUUAGUUGGAAUAUUUCCAACCACUCAUAAAGUUUUCAACAUUUUUGGAAACUUUAAAUUAUUUGAAAUCAAAUAUAUAAUUGAUUUCAGUAGCUUUGAACUUAAGUUCAAAAUGCCAAAAGUAGUUUCAAAAGAAGUUUCAUCUCUGAUAUCUUGUUUUCUAUAUUUAUCAGAAAAGAUGAACUUUUCUAAUGGCCAUUUUGGGUUCAUUGAUUUGGC
rnacentral:lncRNA from 1 species